ACACCUUCAAGCGCAGCUUGGUGUUGGGCGUCUGUCCUCCGGGACUCGCCUCAAAAAGAUUGGCAGCCACUUCAGCGGCUUUGAGCGCAGCAGAAUUGCGUCCUCUAGCAGCGGAAGGCGGCAUCCACAAGCUUUUUUUCCAGU
rnacentral:misc_RNA from 1 species